rnacentral:sRNA from 1 species
UUACGUGACGAAGCGCGCGCCAAAAGCGACAAUAAGGCCUGAGCUUCGUGUGAGUCACCCCAAAACGCUGGCUAAGCCGGCGUUUUUU